rnacentral:rRNA from 1 species
AUUGAACGCUGGCGGCAGGCCUAACACAUGCAAGUCGAGCGGUAGAGAGGAGCUUGCUUCUCUUGAGAGCGGCGGACGGGUGAGUAAUGCCUAGGAAUCUGCCUGGUAGUGGGGGAUAACGUUCGGAAACGGACGCUAAUACCGCAUACGUCCUACGGGAGAAAGUGGGGGAUCUUCGGACCUCACGCUAUCAGAUGAGCCUAGGUCGGAUUAGCUAGUUGGUGAGGUAAAGGCUCACCAAGGCGACGAUCCGUAACUGGUCUGAGAGGAUGAUCAGUCACACUGGAACUGAGACACGGUCCAGACUCCUACGGGAGGCAGCAGUGGGGAAUAUUGGACAAGGGGCGCAAGCCUGAUCCAGCCAUGCCGCGUGUGUGAAGAAGGUCUUCGGAUUGUAAAGCACUUUAAGUUGGGAGGAAGGUCAGUAGCUUAAUACGUUGCUGAUUUGACGUUACCGACAGAAUAAGCACCGGCUAACUCUGUGCCAGCCGCCGCUGUAAUAC